AUAGCUGCACCUGCAAAGGAAGCGACUACUUGUUAAUAUGUGAUAUAAUCCAGAAAAGCAAGAGUCCACCCAAAGUCAGAAGAGAAGAAUUCAGAAGAGUAAGAGAGCGUCUCCACUUGGUCAUCCCUAACAGACCGGACCCCUCCACUUUGCUAGGAUAUCCCAGAGGAGACCAGAGCAGAAUUCCCUGUGAAGAUAUUGCAAAUGCUGCACCACUUUGACACAGACGAAUAUUGCCUUAAUGCUUUCUCAUUGCAGCUCCAUUCUC
rnacentral:lncRNA from 1 species